rnacentral:rRNA from 1 species
CCUACGGGUGACAGCAGUAGGGAAUCUUCCACAAUGGGCGAAAGCCUGAUGGAGCAACGCCGCGUGGGUGAAGAAGGUCUUUGGAUCGUAAAACCCUGUUGUUAGAGAAGAAAGUGCGUGAGAGUAACUGUUCACGUUUCGACGGUAUCUAACCAGAAAGCCACGGCUAACUACGGGCCAGCAGCCGCGGUGAUACGUAGGGGGCAAGCGUUAUCCGGAUUUAUUGGGCGUAAAGGGAACGCAGGCGGUCUUUUAAGUCUGAUGUGAAAGCCUUCGGCUUAACCGGUGUAGUGCAUUGGAAACUGGGAGACUUGAGUGCAGAAGAGGAGAGUGGAACUCAAUGUGUAGCGGUGAAAUGCGUAGAUAUCGCGCAGAACACCGAUUGCGAAGGCAGCGUACCGGCGCCAGACUGACGCUGAGGCACGAAAGCGUGGGGAUCGAACAGGAUUAGAUACCCGGGUAGUC